rnacentral:rRNA from 1 species
GAUGAACGCUGGCGGCGUGCCUAAUACAUGCAAGUCGAGCGAAGCGGGGACGGGUGAGUAACACGUGGAUAACCUCCUAUAAGACUGGGAUAACUUCGGGAAACCGGAGCUAAACCGGAUACUUAUAGAUGGUUCCGGGCUGCAUUAGCUCGUUGGUAAGGUAACGGCUUGCCAAGGCAACGAUGCAUAGCCGACCUGCGAGGGUGAUGGGCCACACUGGAACUGAGCCACGGUCCGGACGCCUACGGUAGUCAGCAGGAGGGAGUUGGUGGCCAUGGGCGAUAGCCUGACGGGGCAACGCCGCGCGAGGGAUGAGGGGCUCCGGACCGUAACACUCGGUGAUUAGGGAAGCGGGACCGAAGCAGAAAGGCACGGCUAACUACGUAACAUCAGCCGCGGUAAUAC